CUGGGCUCGAAAUGUAGUGGACCGCGGUGGAAACAUCGCUUUCCCGCAAGGGACUGCUAUAUAGGUGCUGCAUGGCUGUCGUCAGCUCGUGUCGUGAGAUGUUGGGUUAAGUCCCGCAACGAGCGCAACCCUUAUCCCCAGUUGCCAUCAUUAAGUUGGGCACUCUGGUGAAACCGCCUCGGAUAACGGGGAGGAAGGUGGGGAUGACGUCAGGUCCUCAUGGCCCUUAUGGGUAGGGCUACACACGUCAUACAAUGGCCGGUACAGAGGGCUGCCAACCCGCGAGGGGGAGCCAAUCCCAGAAAACCGGUCGUAGUCCGGAUCGCAGUCUGCAACUCGACUGCGUGAAGUCGGAAUCGCUAGUAAUCGCGGAUCAGCUUGCCGCGGUGAAUA
rnacentral:rRNA from 1 species